GACAGAGGGUGCAAACGUUGUUCGGAAUUACUGGGCGUAAAGCGAGUGUAGGCGGUGUGGUAAGUCGGAUGUGAAAGCCCCGGGCUCAACCCGGGAAGUGCACUCGAUACUGCCACGCUAGAGUAUCGGAGAGGUUGGUGGAAUUCUCGGUGUAGAGGUGAAAUUCGUAGAUAUCGAGAGGAACACCGGUGGCGAAGGCGGCCAACUGGACGAAUACUGACGCUGAGGCGCGAAAGCUAGGGGAGCAAACAGG
rnacentral:rRNA from 1 species